rnacentral:rRNA from 1 species
UACGAAGGAUGCAAGCGUUAUCCGGAAUUAUUGGGUUUAAAGGGUGCGUAGGCGGACUAAUAAGUCAGUGGUGAAAGCCUGCAGCUUAACUGCAGAAUUGCCGUUGAUACUGUUAGUCUUGAGUACAGUUGAGGUAGGCGGAAUGUGUCAUGUAGCGGUGAAAUGCUUAGAUAUGACACAGAACACCGAUUGCGAAGGCAGCUUGCUAAGCUGUAACUGACGCUGAGGCACGAAAGCGUGGGGAGCAAACAGGAUUAGAAACCCUAGUAGUCC